AUACAGAGGGUGCGAGCGUUAAGCGGAAUUACUGGGCGUAAAGCGCGCGUAGGCGGUCUAUUAAGUCAGAUGUGAAAUCCCAGGGCUCAACCUUGGAACUGCAUCUGAUACUGGUAGACUAGAGUUUUGGAGAGGGAAGUAGAAUUUCAGGUGUAGCGGUGAAAUGCUUAGAGAUCUGAAGGAAUACCAGUGGCGAAGGCGACUUCCUGGCCAAAAACUGACGCUGAGGUGCGAAAGCGUGGGUAGCAAACGGGAUUAGAAACCCUAGUAGUCC
rnacentral:rRNA from 1 species